rnacentral:rRNA from 1 species
GCGAAAGCUGGUACAGACGCGGGGGUAGUACAGGGGGUGGAGGCGUUAAGUGGGUGUAAGGGGCGUAAAGCGCGCGUAGGUGGUUCAGUAAGAUGGGUGUGAAAUGCCCGGGCGUAACCUGGGAACUGCUUUCAUAACUGCUGAGCUAGAGGACGGUAGAGGGGAGGGGAAUUUCCUGUGUAGCGGUGAAAUGCGUAGAUAUAGGAAGGAACACCAGUGGCCAAGGCGACUACCUGGACUGAUACUGACACUGAGGUGCGAAAGCGUGGGGAGCAAACAGGAUUAGAUACCCGAGUAGUC